rnacentral:rRNA from 1 species
ACGCUUUCGGUAUGCUUAACACAUGCAAGUCGAACGGAUUUAUUUAGAGCUUGCUUUAAAUAAAUUAGUGGCAGACGGGUGAGUAACACGUGGGAAUCUGCCCAUCAGUACGGAAUAACAUUUAGAAAUAAUUGCUAAUACCGUAUAUUCUCUUUGGAGGAAAGAUUUAUCGGUGAUGGAUGAGCCCGCGCCAGAUUAGGUAGUUGGUAGGGUAAUGGCCUACCAAGCCAAUGAUCUGUAGCUGGUUUGAGAGAAUGAUCAGCCACACUGGAACUGAGACACGGCCCAGACUCCUACGGGAGGCAGCAGUGGGGAAUAUUGGACAAUGGGCGAAAGCCUGAUCCAGCAGUGCCGCGUGAGUGAUGAAGGCCUUAGGGUUGUAAAGCUCUUUUACCCGGGAUGAUAAUGACAGGACCGGGAGAAUAAGCUCCGGCUAACUCCGUGCCAGCAGCCGCGGUAAUACGAAUCGAAUUCCC